GCUGGGCAUGGCAAACUACACCAAUUAGAAGUUAAAUAUCAUUCUCAUUACAGUAUUAGAAUUCAUUAAAUUAAUUAAAAAUGAACCUACGUUGCAAAAACUGACCCGAGAUCAGGUAAAGCUGAUUCACUGCAUUAACGCCAUCUGGCGGUUAAUCAUCAGAAUUUUAAAAUGUUUCGUAACAGUAUGACGUAGCGCAGCUUAGUCUGCUGAAAUCACGUGACUUUGCGAGUUUAGGCUCGUUUGAGGUGUUUCACUGCACCUGUCUUUCUCAGAAGGAAUCAAAAGUGCCCCUUUCAACACUAAUACUGUGGUCAGUAAAACAAAGUUCAUUUGAAUUAUAGUCAAUAUGACAGUAACAAAUCGAUUAAAAGUCGGAAAAUACGAGUUUAUGUCGCAUAUUCAUAACUGUGACCAGCUGUUUACAAAAGAUAUAGAACUGCGGACCAUAUGUGUGUCGAUUCAAUUAAAAUCAUAUUAAUUCAUCGACGCCUGUUUGACACGCAACCAAUCGUGAUGAUGCUGCACAACAAGCUCAAAUGUCAUUGGACAGUGUGAAGUGGAUCGGUAGUUUCCCGCUUUUAUCCAUAAAUCGGCCAGCUGUUGUCUAUUUUAAGGUGAAGCUAAAAGAAAAAAGAAGAAGAAGGUGAAAAAAAGACCAGAAACGAAUUGACUACAUGACCAUGCAGCACCAGAAGUCAUAUUAAUAGGCAUCUGCGUGUAACCUCCUGAACACUGCUUGGUGUGCCUUCCUCUUGUUGGCUCACCUUCCUGCCUCACCAUCAGCACUGCCAUAUCUAAGCUCUGAGGAGUCCCAAGCUCUGCCACAUCCCUCGGAGCUCUCAGUUCCACCUCGGUCCAUCAACCAGUCGACUCCACCCUGGCUCCUUGCCCCCUUGGCUCCACCUGGGAUUGUAGUCCCUUCAACUCCACCUCCUCCCUCCUCCCACCGGCUCCACCUUGGUCAGUCGUCACCCAACCAUCGGCAUGGACUUCCGGGCUGUCUGCUGCGCUCCAUCCCUCCACCCCUAAGGCUCAAUCGGACUCCUCCAUCCCUCAGGCUCCACUGCAGCCAUUAGCCUGCAUUAGCCUCCUCCAUUGCUCCUCUCAUCAUCAACUCCUCCAUGGGUCAUUCCACCAUCUUAUCCUUCAUGGUUCCUCCCAUCAUCUCCUCCAUGGCUUCUUCCGCCAUCUGCUCCACCCUGGUUCCUCACAUCUGCUCCCCUAUUGGUUUCCUCCACCCUUCUUUCCUCAGUCCAUCCAUCACGACGUGAGGCCACACCUUCCUCGGAGGGGAUGUUUCGUCAUGAUCUGUGUGUUUAAUUUCAUUUUCAUGGACUUUUAGUUUGUCUCUCUUCAGUUACCUGUUUCCUUUGUUCUAGUUUCCUGCCAGUCAUUAGUUGUCAUGGACAUUCAAUCAUCACACCUGUUUAUUUAGUCAUCAUCUCUGUGUAUUUAAGUUCCUCUUUGUUCUCAGUUGAGUGGUCCAGUAUUGUUGUUCCUACAUGCUGUUACAGUGUCAUAUGCCUGCUAAUUAUCUGUGGAUUACCUGAGUUUGUUUUAUUUAAUAAAUCUUUUGUUUUGUGAAACCAUUUGCCUCUUCAUCA